ensembl:snoRNA small nucleolar RNA U89
GCCGGCUGAUGAGACUAAGGCGAAUGCGACUGCCUACUGACCCUUGGCGUCUGGGGGUGGGAUCUGAAAUCUUGGUGGGGGUACCUGAGGCCUGACUCCCCACUGUAAGGCCAGAUCAACAGCACUUCUGGCCUUGCCUUCAUGUCUGCUGCCACCACAGUUCUUGGCAGCAUCCUGCAGGGAGGCCCACAGCAGGUGGCCAAAGUGUGAGUAGCCAUGUGAGCGCAACCUUGAAUCUGACAGCC